GGGCGGUUAGCUCAGGCGGCAGAGUGCCUGCCUUACGAGCAGGAGGCCGCAGGUUCGAACCCUGCACCGCCCACCA
rnacentral:tRNA from 1 species